rnacentral:rRNA from 1 species
UACGUAGGUGACCAGCGUUGUCCGGAUUUACUGGGCGUAAAGAGCGCGCAGGCGGCCGUUCAAGUCGAGUGUGAAAGCCCCCGGCUCAACUGGGGAGGGGCAUUCGAUACUGAUCGACUGGAAGGCAGGAGAGGGAAGCGGAAUUCCCGGUGUAGUGGUGAAAUGCGUAGAUAUCGGGAGGAACACCAGUGGCGAAGGCGGCUUCCUGGCCUGUUCUUGACGCUGAGGCGCGAAAGCUAGGGGAGCAAACGGG